GACUGGUUGAGUUAGCUGGUGCUGGCCGCGGGCUUCAACCCCGUUGGGCCUCCUCUGGAAAGGGAGGCCGCUUGGUUCGAUUCCAAAACCAGUCUCCA
rnacentral:tRNA from 1 species